ACCCUCCUGACAAUAUGUCCAAAGCAGGUCACUGAUGUUUUCACUCCAUUUUGCUGAGAGGAUGGGAAGUUACAUAGCUGCAGGAGACACCCAGAGAAUUUAAUGGACAGGAGACUUGUAGAAAGAAGGUAUCAUUCAUCAAUUGGCAAUGCAUGAUUGACAAGAUCCCAAGUCUCUGACCAUGAGAUCGGUGAAACAUCUUCCCACCCCCACUCUACAAGACCGCCGUGGACUCACUGUGAUUUACUUUUCAGCCCCAGAGUAUCUUGAAGGCCCCUGGAUUGACUGCCCUAAUCAAGGAGAAAUUCACUCCUCUCCUCUUCAAACCAAUUGGGGGCAGAUGAUACAUUUUUAAAAGUGAAACAUAUCAGAAUGGUGAUCUUAUGUAUUUAAAGUGAGAAUUGUAAGCAGUGGAAAAGUCCAGACUUAUCAUUAAUUAAUAAAAAUUUACCAUCUGUUCUAGAUUGAAUCACACAGCUGGUGUUUGCUGCCAACUAGUACCAACAAAUCAUCCAGAUGUCUCUGCCGAGAAUAAUUAUUAACAUUUGUGCUCGACUUAAAAACAGAUGUACAAGGGUAAAGUGUAUGUAUUUCGUCACAAUGAAAUUCUGAUGACUUUCGCUUUUCUGACAAGUUCAAUCCAUCCAUUCGGAUAAUGAGCUAGGCUGAGGGUAUUGGGUGCAUUGAGAAAAGUUGAGAGUUGUGAUGGGUGAGCACAACAACUGGUGAUGGUAGCCAUGGACGUAUGGAAGGAGCAGUUCAAAGAGAGAUAAGCUUCUUAUGUAAGAGUCUGCUGAAAAUAAAGCUAAUAUAGAUUGUU